rnacentral:rRNA from 1 species
GACGAACGCUGGCGGCGUGCUUAACACAUGCAAGUCGAACGAUGAAAUGGAGCUUGCUCCAUGGAUUAGUGGCGAACGGGUGAGUAACACGUGAAUAACCUGCCCUUAAUUUUGGAAUAACCCAGGGAAACCUGGGCUAAUACCGGAUAAGUAAACCUGUGGCAUCACAUGGUUUUGGAAAGUUUUUCGAUUAAGGAUGGAUUCGCGGCCUAGCAGCUUGUUGGUGAGGUAAUGGCUCACCAAGGCGACGACGGGUAGCCGGCCUGAGAGGGUGAACGGCCACACUGGGACUGAGACACGGCCCAGACUCCUACGGGAGGCAGCAGUGGGGAAUAUUGCGCAAUGGACGAAAGUCUGACGCAGCGACGCCUCGUGAGGGACGAAGGUCUUCGGAUUGUAAACCUCUUUCAGCAGGGACGAAGCGAAAGUGACGGUACCUGCAGAAGAAGCACCGGCUAACUAUGUGCCAGCCGCCGCCGUAA